GAUGAAGAACGUAGCGAAAUGCGAUAAGUAAUGUGAAUUGCAGAAUUCAGUGAAUCAUCGAAUCUUUGAACGCACAUUGCGCCCGCCAGUAUUCUGGCGGGCAUGCCUGUUCGAGCGUCAUUACAACCCUCAGGCCCCCGGGCCUGGCGUUGGGGAUCGGCGAGGCGCCCCCCGCGGGCACGCGCCGUCCCCCAAAUACAGUGGCGGUCCCGCCGCAGCUUCCAUUGCGUAGUAGCUAACACCUCGCAACUGGAGAGCGGCGCGGCCAUGCCGUAAAACACCCAACUUCUGAAUGUUGACCUCGAAUCAGGUAGGAAUACCCGCUGAACUUAAGCAUAUAAUAAGCGGAGGA
rnacentral:misc_RNA from 1 species